CUCCAACAGAAGCCAAUAUCUUCAGAUUACGAGUUAUUAAUCUUGGCCAAACUGAAAAAUUGGAUCCUGCAAAUGCUUUAUAGCGGAGAAGAGCAGCUGCACCUGGCCUGGCUCGGGAUGAAAAGCAGCAAGUGGGAAAAGACAGACGAGUGUUUCUAGUCCAGUCAUCUGUGGACGCAUGCCUAUAAUGACAAAGAAAUUCAAGACUAAAGGAAAUGAAACAUCAUAGAAGAAGUCAGAGGUCAUCUUACCUGCUGGCUGGUGGUUGCUGCUCAGAAAGAUGGAGAAAUGUAUCAUUUGGAAAUAGCUGUGUGGGAA